CAAACUGCGUGCUUGUUGAACAGCCUCGCUCAUUCGGUGUCAGUCUCAGUAGCAGCACAGCAAAACCAGCAGCACGGCAAAAGGAGCCUGAAGAUGCCCUGUCUUUCAAAACCAGUUAAAGUUGAGACAAUCACCACCGGGGUGACUCAUGGUGCCGAUGUGGAUCUGAUUGACCAAGUGAGAAGUGGGGUUAGGCUGGAGGGCACAAACCAGGAUGGACAGUAUACCAUUGUUUUCUGUCCCAUCGUCUCCCGUGUUGGUUCAGAUGUGGAGGCAGCCAUGCAAAACAUGCCAUGUAAGUAAACAGGUAACAUUUUUCCUUUUGGUUUGCUGAAAAACAAAUCAGACAAAGCUAACCUGAGUUAAUGCAAAAAAG